GUGACAUCACAAGAGGUGCUCCAGCUAUGGCCACAGAGGAAGAACUUAAUGCCUUACAUGAGUCUUACUAUUGCUGUUCCUCAGAAUACAAAGAACCUGUUGAUGGCCAAGUGGAGAGGUACCCCCAGUCCUGCCCUGCUACAACAGACCCUGAUUCCUGUCCUGCAUCAACUGAUCCUGAAUCCAGGCCAGAAACCCAGUCUGGGACUGAAGAAUCAGAUCCCAUGGAGUGAACUUGGGCAUCCACAGCACCUGCAAUAGCCAAGCUGCCAAGGACAGAACAUCUAUCUACUGCUGACAGACUGGCCAACCUGAAGGGGAGAAAAAGGAAGACUUGGGAUGAGGUGUUGGCAGAACACAUGGCAGAGUCAGAGGCAAACCAGGCUGGCUCAGAGUUUGGAGGCUGUACAUGAGGACCCAGAAGGAGAAAGAAAUGCACCUCCCCCAGGAGAUCAUGGCAGUGGCCAAAGACGGAGUUGCAGUGACUAGGGAAAGCAUGGCUGUGGCUAAGGACAGCAUCACUAUGGCAAAAGAGAACAUGGUAAAAGGCAGAGAGAUGCAGAGGCAACUCAUAAGCCAAAAUAGCCUCCUGCAAAACACUCUCCUGCAAAACAUGCUGCUGCUAGGCCAGUGGCUCUGCAGUCCCGUAAUUUGGGACCCUGUUAUGCUCUUCAGCCCCCAGACAAUGCUAGCUACUGGGACCAGCAGCACUUGUAACCACUGUACCCCUACAACA